UGACUUUGGUCAAAGUCAAACUAUUUUAAGUUUGACUAAUUUUAUAGAAAAAAGUAGUAAUAUUUUUAACCCAAGACCAAUGUAUUAUGAAAAUUUAUUCAAUUAUAGAUUUAAUGAAACUAUGCUGGCAUUGUAAAUGUUACUACAUUUUUCUAUAGAGUUAGUCAAAUUUAGAUUAGUUUGACUUUGACCAAAGUCAA
rfam:Oryza nivara chromosome 12, whole genome shotgun sequence.